CUGGCUCAGGACGAACGCUGGCGGCGUGCCUAUACAUGCAAGUCGUACGCUUCUUUUUCCACCGGAGCUUGCUCCACCGGAAAAAGAGGAGUGGCGAACGGGUGAGUAACACGUGGGUAACCUGCCCAUCAGAAGGGGAUAACACUUGGAAACAGGUGCUAAUACCGUAUAACAAUCGAAACCGCAUGGUUUUGAUUUGAAAGGCGCUUUCGGGUGUCGCUGAUGGAUGGACCCGCGGUGCAUUAGCUAGUUGGUGAGGUAACGGCUCACCAAGGCCACGAUGCAUAGCCGACCUGAGAGGGUGAUCGGCCACAUUGGGACUGAGACACGGCCCAAACUCCUACGGGAGGCAGCAGUAGGGAAUCUUCGGCAAUGGACGAAAGUCUGACCGAGCAACGCCGCGUGAGUGAAGAAGGUUUUCGGAUCGUAAAACUCUGUUGUUAGAGAAGAAUAAGGAUGAGAGUAACUGUUCAUCCCUUGACGGUAUCUAACCAGAAAGCCACGGCUAACUAC
rnacentral:rRNA from 1 species